rnacentral:rRNA from 1 species
AUUGAACGCUGGCGGCAUGCUUUACACAUGCAAGUCGAACGGCAGCGCGGGCUUCGGCCUGGCGGCGAGUGGCGAACGGGUGAGUAAUGCAUCGGAACGUGCCCAGUAGUGGGGGAUAGCCCGGCGAAAGCCGGAUUAAUACCGCAUACGACCUGAGGGUGAAAGCGGGGGACCGAAAGGCGUCGCGCUAUUGGAGCGGCCGAUGUCGGAUUAGCUAGUUGGUGGGGUAAAGGCUUACCAAGGCGACGAUCCGUAGCUGGUCUGAGAGGACGACCAGCCACACUGGGACUGAGACACGGCCCAGACUCCUACGGGAGGCAGCAGUGGGGAAUUUUGGACAAUGGGGGCAACCCUGAUCCAGCCAUGCCGCGUGCGGGAAGAAGGCCUUCGGGUUGUAAACCGCUUUUGUUCGGGAAGAAAUCCUCUGGGCUAAUACCCCGGGGGGAUGACGGUACCGGAAGAAUAAGCACCGGCUAACUACGUG